GGUGACUCUUUUCAUGGGGCUCUGGUAUUCUCUCAACAGAGAGCUGAGAUUCCUGGAUUUAGGACUUUUUUCAGAAGAGUUAACCCUUCUAAUUACCCAGAAGAAAUGUUUCUUAGAAGUUUCUGGAAUUGGGCUUUUGAGUGCCCAGAUUUUUCUGAAAUAUUCGGGCAAGAGGAAUUGUCACUGAGUGCUUCCCUGGACAUGCUUCCCUGUCAUUAUUUUGAUAUUUCCAUGUCUGUGCUGAGUUACAGAGUUUACACUGCAGUGUAUGCUGUAGCUUGGGCACUGCAAAACAUGUUUCUAACCAGAUCUGAAAGGAGUUCAUGUGGCGUUAAAGGCAGCCCAGUGCCUACAUCUCAGAAGAGAAAUCUGAACUUUUGACCUCCAAUACAAUAGAACCAGACUGGGCAAAGAGACAUCCUCAGCUUGUGGAUCCAGCUCUCCCUGGAGACAACCUGGUAUGCAGAACACAGAGGGAGAGGCAGUAACAACCCAGGAUAUUGAACUUGAGAAAUGUUGCCUUUUCACUCUGUUGAUUGUUUCCUUUGCUGUGCAGGAGCUGAUGGGUGUGCAGCGACAGCUAAAAGAUGAAAUUGGGACACAAACACAGAAAAAUCCUCUAAUUCUCCAGCCUCCACCAUCAACACAAGACCACAGCAUCCCACUGACAGAGGAAUUUGAGCCUGUGGCGCAUUGAAGGUGAUGAUAACAACAACAAAAUCCAAUUGCAGAUCAACUCCUGGCCAGAUUGACUCAACCCUUCACAUGAAUGAUCUGAGAUAAGAAGAGACGUGUCCAUUUCCAGGCUUAAAUUUUAUUUAUUUCAGUCUCUAUUGUUUUACACAUUAUAUCCAGCAUUGAAUUAAAAGUUAUGUGAUACAAAAAAGCAGAAAAAAAAUACAUUGCCAAGAGAGAAAGCACCUAUCAAAGCCAGACUCAAGAGAUAACCCACAUGGUGGAAUUUUUAGAGACUAUGAAAAACUACGAUUAAUAUUUCAAAGUGGAAAAGACAGACAGCAGCAUGAACAGAUCAGGAAUUUUAGUAUAUACAUGGAAACUGCAAGAAAGAGUGAAAUAGAAAUUCUAUAAAUGAAAAGCCCAACAUCAGAGAUAAGAAUUCCUUUGUCAGAAUCAUCAGUAGUCUUGACACAGCUGAGGUAAUAAUCUGUGAGCCUGAAAAAUAAGUCAUUAAAAAUGAUUCAAACUGAAAAACAAAAAGUAGUGAAAAAAAAGAACUCAGCAUGCAAGAACUCUGGUACAAUAUCAAACAGGCUAACAUAAAUGUAGCUGGUGUCCCACCGGGAGAAGAAAGUAGAGAACAAGGCAGAAGAAAUAUUUGAAGAGAUGGUGACUGAGAAUUUUCCAAAAAUCAUGAAAGAUAGCAAGCCAAAGGUCCAAAUUUGGAAAAACCCCAGGCAGAAUAAAUACUGAGCAAUAUUGACAACAAAAACCCAAAUAAUAAACCAAAUAAACAACAACCCCAUCCACAAAUCUAAACUCAUCAUAUUUGAACUGCUGAAAAUCAAAGAGAAAGAGAAAUCCUGACAACAUCCAGAAGAAAAAAAACCCACGUUAAAUACAGAGGAAUAAAGAUAAGAAAUACAUCAGACUUCCUGUCAGAAACCACAAGCUGGAAGACCACGGUAUGACAUCUUUAAAGUUCUGAAUCCAAAAACUGUCAAUCCAGAAUUCUAUUGACCAUAAAGACAUCUUUCAAAGUCAAGGUGUCAGGGGCUCCGCUGAGCUAGAGAGAGUUGGAAUAGCCAAUGGAGACAAUAAGCCAAAUGAAAAUGACAGUCGAGUCUUUAAUCACUCACCAUCAUAGUAUAAGUAAGAGGCUAAACAAGAGAAAACACUGACUCCUGCAUUCCAUUUUCUGAAAUGGAAUGGUGCCUCAGUUGAGGGUCAGGUACAUUAGCACAGGUGUGGGGAUUGUCUCUCCACUGAGGGAGCCCUGAUCAGGAGGCUUCUGCAAUUUUAUGGAAUCCAGAGGCCAGGGGCAGGGAGAGGGGGAAGGGCCAGAAGUGGAAAAGUACUGAGUACUGAGUCAGUGUGGAUAACAAAGCUUCAAGGUCCCCUCCUCUCUUCCUAAUAAAGCGUUUUCAGCAAAAGUGUCUGAGAAAGGCUUCUGCCAAAAGACUCCAAUAAAGAGGCCUUCGGAGGCUCUUGGACUAGCAAUGCAAAUUUGCAGAAGAGCAUGGGUGGCCAGGUGGCCUGUGUCCUGCACUGCAACUCCCUUCAGAGACUGCAGUGCACUGGCUGCGUACCAAGUCUGGCGUGGGGAGGGCAGCCAGAUAAAGCCUUUAUCAUUGCGUAUGUCCAGGCCUGAAAAAAAUCACACAUAAUUUCUAGUCAGGAGCUGGACUCACUACAAGAAAAAAUAAAGACUCUCUGAGACAAAAGGUCAGAGAAUUCAUUGCCAGCACACUGUGCUACAAAAACAUUAAGGAAGUUCUUUAGGAGGAAGGAAUAUUAUAGUAGAUAGAAUCUACAAAAAAAAAAGUGAAGAGCUCUGGAAAUGGUGAAAAUAAAAGUAAAUAUAAAAACCUAUUUUUCUUUUUUUUUUUUUUUGAGGAAGUUUAGCCCUGAGCUAACAUCUGCCACCAAUCCUCCUCUUUUUGCUGAGGAAGACUGGCCCUGAGCUAACAUCCAUGCCCAUCUUCCUCUUAUACGUGGGAUGCCUACCACAGCACGACUUGAAAAGUGGUGCAUAGGUCUGCACCUGGGAUCCGAACUGGUGAACCUCAGGCCACCAAAGCAGAACGUGCAAACGUUGCUGUGCCACCAGGCUGGCCCCUAUUUUUCUUUUUUAAAAAUGUUCAAAAAUAUAAUUACCUGUCUAAAGGAAAAAUGGUAACAAUAUAUUGUGAGUUUUAUAACGUAUAAAAAUAAACUGUGUGACCACAAUAGUGCAAAGGAUGGGAGGGAGGAAUUGCAAGUAUACUGUUGUAAGAUUCUUACGUUAUAUGUGAAGUGAGCCAAUUCCUUAAAAUAAAUCUUUCUCUAUGUAUAUCCUAUUGGUUCUGUUUCUCUGGAGAACCCUGACUGAU
ensembl:lncRNA